UACGUAGGGUGCAAGCGUUAAUCGGAAUUACUGGGCGUAAAGCGUGCGCAGGCGGUUCCAUAAGACAGAUGUGAAAUCCCCGGGCUCAACCUGGGAACUGCAUUUGUGACUGCACAGCUGGAGUGCGGCAGAGGGGGAUGGAAUUCCGCGUGUAGCAGUGAAAUGCGUAGAUAUGCGGAGGAACACCGAUGGCGAAGGCAAUCCCCUGGGCCUGCACUGACGCUCAUGCACGAAAGCGUGGGGAGCAAACAGG
rnacentral:rRNA from 1 species